AGGGUCAUGAUCCUCACAACGGGUGGAGCGAAGGGGGGAGGUGAGAGCAGAUGAAGCAUUUGAAGUCAGUAUUGACAUGCAGCUCUGUGGGCUCCUGUGAGCACAGCCAUGGUUGGUGUGUUGGAGGUGGCAGUCGGGUUGUGUUUAUGCAAACUGGCCCUCAGCCUUUUCUACUUGCCUUCAUUGACCAAAGCCAACAGUGCCAUCAGCUUCUGCUGCUGCUGCCUCCUGAUGUUCACAGACUUCUCUGUCACAGUUUUCUUGACUUUUUUGAGUAUCUUUGGGUUCUGGCUGCCUGGACUGGCUCCUUCGGGUGACGUCAUCGCUCUGCGUUUUCUGCUCUUCCUCGGCAACACCUACAGAGCCGUGUUACUCCUGAUCACACCACUAAUUGCUGUGGAGACCCUGGCCAGACAUCUGUGGCCUCACACUAUCACUGCUCAUAGGACACUGUCCUCUUAUGAUGGAAAGGUAACCAUAGAGGUGGAAGAGGAGGAGGAGGAGGAGGACAAUAGUGACUUGUUGAAAGACACAAGAUGGUCUCUUGCUUUUAGCUACUUCUGCUGCCUGUCAGUGUGGGUCCUUGUUGCCCUCAAUGUCAAUUGGAAAUGGCAAACAGAGGAAUUGUUGGCUAUGGCCUGUUCAUACACGGCCAGCUCUGUUGUCGGAUGUCUUCCUAAACUUCUCAGUCCGUGCCUGUGCAUGACUCUUCUCUUCCUUUUCCUGCUCCUGCUCAUCAUCACUCUGCAAAAACAAAGCCAAGCUGCUGCACAAACAGAUGGAGAAGAAAACAUCAAAAUUAAAGGUGAAAACCAUUGGAACGACAUUGACCCAGCAUCGUCAGAACCCCUAAAGUCUGUGAAAGCUGGGAUGUUAGAGUAUGUUGACCUAAAGAUGGCAUCAGGUCACCAUGGGGAUCCUGUUAUUGCCUCAUCUGUGUGUUUAUCUGGAAAGAGAGAAGAGCAGGAGAAUGAAAGGAGAAAGGAAGGCAUACAGUUUACAUUCAUCACAGAGACACACGUGGACUCACACCUGAGGAUCUGGAGUUGGUGGCGACGCUUGGGUUUUCCCUUCCCAGAGGCUAAAGUAAUAAUAGCGUGGAUGGGUGUGCUCUGCAUUUUGGUGAUCCCACCUAGCCUGAGUGUAAAUGUUCUUCUGAUCAGGACUAUAGAGACUCUGCUGGAGGAGUGCAUUGAAUUCAUUGGUUUACUGGCAGAAAACAGAGGACAUGCAUCCCCCUCGGACAUUGAAAUACAAGUUUAACACAAGACUGGGGGGAAACAAAGCAAACUGGUGACAGUUUGCAACAGGAUCGGGAGAUUAAUAUUACCAGGGACGCAGCCAGACUGUAUGUCUACAUUUAACUGCUUUGUCCUGAGUGUAAACACACACAUUUCUGUGGAGCUAUUCACGUGUGAGGAAAUAAUAUGUGGAAACCACACAGAAAGGUGCUGUGGAAACAGGUUGGGGCGUGCUGGGAAAGAGAAGCUGAACCUAACAGUAAAAAAUGAUGAUUGUAAAGCUUUCAACUUGUCUCAGGUUCAGAGCCUGAAGCCUCAGCCUUCUUCAAACAUUACCUUCCUUCUCUUUUUCUUAUUUUGUCAAUUUUAAUAAAUUUUUUUCAAAAAUACA
ensembl:lncRNA uncharacterized LOC114463683